AUUGAACGCUGGCGGCAGGCCUAACACAUGCAAGUCGAACGAGUGGCGGACGGGUGAGUAAUGACUGGGAAACUGCCUGAUGGAGGGGGAUAACUACUGGAAACGGAAGCUAAAAACGCAUACCAUCAGAUGUGCCCAGAUGGGAUUAGCUAGGUGGUGGGGUAACGGCUCACCAAGGCGACGAUCCCUAGCUGGUGUGAGAGGAUGAACAGCCACACUGGAACUGAGACACGGUCCAGACUCCUACGGGAGGCAGCAUUGGGGAAUAUUGCACAAUGGGCGCAAGCCUGAUGCAGCCAGGCGGCGUGUAUGAAGAAGGCCUUCGGGUUGUAAAGUACUUUCAGCGGGGAGGCGUUACCCGCAGAAGAAGCACCGGCUAACUCCGUGCCAGCCGCCGCGGUAAUAC
rnacentral:rRNA from 1 species